rnacentral:rRNA from 1 species
CCUACGGGUGGCAGCAGUAGGGAAUUUUGCGCAAUGGGGGAAACCCUGACGCAGCAACGUCGCGUGAUCGAUGAAGCCCCUACGGGUGUUAAGACCUGUCUGCGGGGACGCAACCUGACGGUACCCUCAGCGGAAGCACAGGCCAACUCCGUGCCAGCGGCGGCGGUAAUACGGGGGGUGCAAGCGUUGUCCGGAAGCAUCGGGCGUAAAGGGUUCGUAGGGGGCGCGUUAAGUCUGGUGGUAAAGGGGGAAGUUCAACUUCCGUAGGGCACUGGAUACUGGCGGGCUUGAAGGCGGUAGAGGUAAAGGGAAUUACUGGUGUAGCGGUGAAAUGCGUAGAUAUCAGGAAGAACAUCGGUUGCGUAGGCGCUUUACUGGGCCGUAAUUGACACUGAGGAACGAAAGCCGGGGUAGCGAAUGGGAUUAGAUACCCCAGUAGUC